GAAGCGCCGUUUGCAGAGCUAAUUUUUCACCGAGAGGAAUCGCGAAAUAAAGCGCACCACGGUAAUAUGAUAUCAUGGUGUAAGCCGACUUGAGUUUUUCUUUUCCAAAGAGUUUCCUGUCGAUAUUUUCUUGACUAUUUCGACACUUUUCUCUCGGUGCACGCUCAAUGUGGAUAUGGAAUUUCUGUUGCGUGUCAUCGUUUUGUACACUUCGCUGACAACUGCAAUAAGUACAGAUUCACCAGUCAACGAACUGGUCAAACUGCAGCAAGACUAUUUGGACUGGAGACUGGAAGAUCACCCGGAGUAUGGCACGAUGUACAACAUCACAACAUACAGCGACAAACUGGAAUCAUACAAUAUGACCAUGUUUCAAGUUAGAAAGGAUAAGGCAAGCAGUCUGCUCAUGCGCUUACGAAAGGUCAAAGUUGACGAAUUACCGAAAAAAGAAAAGAUGAACUACAAGAUACUGGAAACUAUGUUGUCGUCAUAUGUCGAUGGAUAUAAAUGGGUUAUGUACAGCAACUUGAACCCCGUGUCGCAUCUCAUAGGUCCGCAGAUCGACCUAGAGUACGUGAUGUCUCGAACACGGUUUAAGACGAAGGCCGAUUUUGAAAAUUACAUCAGCAGAUUGCGACUAUUACCACAAAAGUUUGCAGAAUACAAAGUAUUAAUGAACGAAGCCAUCCGACUGAGAAGAACCAAUCACGUGGUAUCACUGAAAGGGAUUGGGAAGCAGUUCGAAGCGCUGCAGGUUCCAGUAAAUGAAUCUGUCUUCUACUCGCCGUUUGCAACAAACAUCUACGCUACAGACGUAUCGGAAUCAGAUAGAACUGAGUCUGCAGGUAACUAAGCUGGUUUCCAUUCCUUGAUCCGCCUGCCCGAACACACGAAUGAAUGCUUCUGACACAGUGUUGAACAGUUGCCACUCACACACGCCACAAUGGAAUCCAUGGUGUGUUUCGUUCUCAACAAUGGUGUAGACCGCUUGAGUUGCAGGCUGGAGGGGUGUGCUCGAGUUCCCACCGAACAGUCUGUUGUUGUAACGGCAGUCUCCCUCAACACUUAUCUUGUGAUCACUGGAAAUUUUCCAAGGCAUUUGGAACAGCUGGGUGAGGCCGAAGUAAUCGCAUAUUGCCAA